UACGAAGGGGGCUAGCGUUGUUCGGAAUUACUGGGCGUAAAGCGCACGUAGGCGGACCAUCAAGUUGGGGGUGAAAUCCCGGGGCUCAACCCCGGAACUGCCUUCAAAACUGUUGGUCUGGAGGUCGAGAGAGGUGAGUGGAAUUCCGAGUGUAGAGGUGAAAUUCGUAGAUAUUCGGAGGAACACCAGUGGCGAAGGCGGCUCACUGGCUCGAUACUGACGCUGGAGGUGCGAAAGCGUGGGGAGCAAACAGG
rnacentral:rRNA from 1 species